rnacentral:rRNA from 1 species
AAUGGGCGAAAGCCUGAUCCAGCCAUGCCGCGUGUGUGAAGAAGGUCUUCGGAUUGUAAAGCACUUUAAGUUGGGAGGAAGGGCUGUCGGCUAAUACCCUGCAGUUUUGACGUUACCAACAGAAUAAGCACCGGCUAACUUCGUGCCAGCAGCCGCGGUAAUACGAAGGGUGCAAGCGUUAAUCGGAAUUACUGGGCGUAAAGCGCGCGUAGGUGGUUCAGCAAGUUGGAUGUGAAAGCCCCGGGCUCAACCUGGGAACUGCAUCCAAAACUACUGAGCUAGAGUACGGUAGAGGGUGGUGGAAUUUCCUGUGUAGCGGUGAAAUGCGUAGAUAUAGGAAGGAACACCAGUGGCGAAGGCGACCACCUGGACUGAUACUGACACUGAGGUGCGAAAGCGUGGGGAGCAAA